UCUUGUAGUCGCGAUGGUACCCUCGGUGGAACUUAACGAGCUCAGCUCACAUUCUGCAGGAUGGGAACCACAAGUCGCCGUCUCUCUUGGCCUCGCGUGUUUCUUUAGCGACAUGGGCCUAUGUCCGUGGCUGCGGUGGCAACUCCUCUCUGGUCCGACAUUUUCACACUGGACUUUUCGUAUAGCCUUGGAGCUCUUUCAUUGUUUCACAAGCCCCUCUUCCCAAAUUUAGUAGUAAUAAUAAUGAGAAGAACAAUCUUUCUUAAAGACUCAAGUGCCAAUGGGUUAUAAAUUUUAAUACUAUUAUUACUGUUCUCAUUGCCAUUAUCAAAGAAUAGGCUAUUCUGAGUUUAUUAAA
rnacentral:lncRNA from 1 species